rnacentral:rRNA from 1 species
AAAAAAGGUAAGCUACUAAGAGCGAAUGGUGGAUGCCUUGACUGGUAAAGGCGAUGAAGGACGUACUAGACUGCGAUAAGCUACGGGGAGCUGUCAAGAAGCUUUGAUCCGUAGAUUUCCGAAUGGGGCAACCCAAUGUAUAGAGAUAUACAUUACCUAUAUAGGAGCGAACGAGGGGAAUUGAAACAUCUUAGUACCCUCAGGAAAAGAAAUCAAUAGAGAUUGCGUCAGUAGCGGCGAGCGAAAGCGCAAGAGGGCAAACCCAGUGCUUGCACUGGGGGUUGUAGGACUGCAAUGUGCAAGAGCUGAGUUUAGCAGAACAUUCUGGAAAGUAUAGCCAUAGAGGGUGAUAGUCCCGUAUGCGAAAAACAAAGCUUAGCUAGCAGUAUCCUGAGUAGGGCGGGACACGAGGAAUCCUGUCUGAAUCCGGGUCGACCACGAUCCAACCCUAAAUACUAAUACCAGAUCGAUAGUGCACAAGUACCGUGAGGGAAAGGUGAAAAGAACUGAGGUGAUCAGAGUGAAAUAGAACCUGAAACCAUUUGCUUACAAUCAUUCAGAGCACUAUGUAGCAAUACAGUGUGAUGGACUGCCUUUUGCAUAAUGAGCCUGCGAGUUGUGGUGUCUGGCAAGGUUAAGCAAACGCGAAGCCGUAGCGAAAGCGAGUCUGAAUAGGGCGCUUAGUCAGAUGCUGCAGACCCGAAACGAAGUGAUCUAUCCAUGAGCAAGUUGAAGCUAGUGUAAGAACUAGUGGAGGACUGAACCCAUAGGCGUUGAAAAGCCCCGGGAUGACUUGUGGAUAGGGGUGAAAGGCCAAUCAAACUUCGUGAUAGCUGGUUCUCUCCGAAAUAUAUUUAGGUAUAGCGUUGUGUCGUAAUAUAAGGGGGUAGAGCACUGAAUGGGCUAGGGCAUACACCAAUGUACCAAACCCUAUCAAACUCCGAAUACCUUAUAUGUAAUCACAGCAGUCAGGCGGCGAGUGAUAAAAUCCGUCGUCAAGAGGGAAACAACCCAGACUACCAGCUAAGGUCCCUAAAUCUUACUUAAGUGGAAAACGAUGUGAAGUUACUUAAACAACCAGGAGGUUGGCUUAGAAGCAGCCAUCCUUUAAAGAAAGCGUAAUAGCUCACUGGUCUAGUGAUUUUGCGCGGAAAAUAUAACGGGGCUAAAGUAAGUACCGAAGCUGUAGACUUGCGCACAACUUAGAUUAUUUAAGUUUAGAAUAUGAGAAACUAAGUUAUAUUUUUACUGAUUUUUAUAGAGUAAAGAUAGAAAUAAAACUUAGUAAAAUCAGUAAAAAUAUUCUUAGGCUAAAGUUAAGUAGUUUAAGUUGUGUGCAAGUGGUAGGAGAGCGUUCUAUUUGCGUCGAAGGUAUACCGGUAAGGAGUGCUGGAGCGAAUAGAAGUGAGCAUGCAGGCAUGAGUAGCGAUAAUUAAUGUGAGAAUCAUUAACGCCGUAAACCCAAGGUUUCCUACGCGAUGCUCGUCAUCGUAGGGUUAGUCGGGUCCUAAGUCGAGUCCGAAAGGGGUAGACGAUGGCAAAUUGGUUAAUAUUCCAAUACCAACAUUAGUGUGCGAUGGAAGGACGCUUAGGGCUAAGGGGGCUAGCGGAUGGAAGUGCUAGUCUAAGGUCGUAGGAGGUUAUACAGGCAAAUCCGUAUAACAAUACUCCGAGAACUGAAAGGCUUUUUGAAGUCUUCGGAUGGAUAGAAGAACCCCUGAUGCCGUCGAGCCAAGAAAAGUUUCUAAGUUUAGCUAAUGUUGCCCGUACCGUAAACCGACACAGGUGGGUGGGAUGAGUAUUCUAAGGCGCGUGGAAGAACUCUCUUUAAGGAACUCUGCAAAAUAGCACCGUAUCUUCGGUAUAAGGUGUGGUUAGCUUCGUACUAGGAUUUACUCCGAAAGCGAAGAAACUUACAACAAAGAGUCCCUCCCGACUGUUUACCAAAAACACAGCACUCUGCUAACUCGUAAGAGGAUGUAUAGGGUGUGACGCCUGCCCGG